rnacentral:tRNA from 1 species
AAUUUAUAAAUAGAAAUGGAUAUAAUUUAUUUAUGUAUAUAAUAAAAUUAUAUAUUUUUAUAAAUAAGUAAUAAUAAUUUAAUGGAAAAAAUUAUGAUUUUAAAAUAGUUUUUUUUAUUAGAGAUUUUUUAACAUAAGUAUAAAAAAUUAGUAAAAUUAUUAUAAUUAUUGAAUUUUUAUUUUAAAAAAAAUUAGGUAUUUAAUGUUUUAAAUUUGAAUUGGUUUAUAAAUUU